CCAGACCGGGGACACAGCGGCUCCGACCCACCGCCGCGAAGCAGAAGAAAAAAAAAAGAGGAGAGCCGACCAAUCACACGCGGCCAAACGGGCGGAAGUAGCGCGACAGACAACCCCUUCGACCAAUAGGAAACCGGCCUGUACAGCGACAGCGGACAGAUGGCAGGAAAUGGAGAUGGAGAGACAGAUGGGGAAUGACAUGCAACAGAGAUCACCAGCAGUACAUGAACCAGGGGCGAUGCAGUUCAUGUUGUGUGCCUUAACCCCUCAGGAACCAGGGCUCCACUAAGAGACACUUCACGCCGCCUUUGGAGAGCCUCUCCGACAGCUUCCUGGCCCAGUGCGUAAAGCUGAUGUCCAGAGAGCCGGCGCGGUCCUCCCCGUACAGCUGCACGUUCCCGGUGUACCACAGAAUCCACCACACCAGGCUG